CUUACACUUUCAUUUAUAGACCAGAUAAUGUUUAAUAUUUAAUUUAUAAUUAUAAUACUAAAUCUUAAUCUAACCUAUGGCAUUCAUCAUUUACUGCAAAGACUACUUGGGUACCUAAUCCUGUUUGUGCUCUGUGCCUUCGUCCUUUAACGUCAGUUUUUACAUAGARGGCUGCCUUCGCCUUUACCGAGUCCCUUUGGUAUCAUAGAAUUUCAUCUCUCCUCCUCAAGUACUGCCCUCUUACAUAAAACUCUAGUCAAGUACUAACAUUUUAGAAGCUAUAUUGACCGUCUAGGUACCCUUUAAACCUAAUUAAGAUGAAUAACACUAGUCUCUUACGUAUUACCGCGACUGCUGGCACGCAAUUAGUCAAGACACGAUAUAUAUACUGUCAUUAUCAAUAUAUA
rnacentral:rRNA from 1 species